UGCCCUAGUAACGGCGAGUGAAGCGGCAACAGCUCAAAUUUGAAAUCUGGCUCUCGGGCCCGAGUUGUAAUUUGUAGAGGAUACUUUUGAUGCGGUGCCUUCCGAGUUCCCUGGAACGGGACGCCAUAGAGGGUGAGAGCCCCGUCUGGUUGGAUGCCAAAUCUCUGUAAAGUUCCUUCGACGAGUCGAGUAGUUUGGGAAUGCUGCUCUAAAUGGGAGGUAUAUGUCUUCUAAAGCUAAAUACCGGCCAGAGACCGAUAGCGCACAAGUAGAGUGAUCGAAAGAUGAAAAGCACUUUGAAAAGAGAGUUAAAAAGUACGUGAAAUUGUUGAAAGGGAAGCGUUUAUGACCAGACUUGGGCUUGGUUAAUCAUCUGGGGUUCUCCCCAGUGCACUUUUCCAGUCCAGGCCAGCAUCAGUUUUCGCCGGGGGAUAAAGACUUCGGGAAUGUGGCUCUCUUCGGGGAGUGUUAUAGCCCGUUGUGUAAUACCCUGGCGGGGACUGAGGUUCGCGCAUCUGCAAGGAUGCUGGCGUAAUGGUCAUCAACGACCCGUCUUGAAACACGGACCAAGGAGUCGUCUUCGUAUGCGAGUGUUCGGGUGUCAAACCCCUACGCGUAAUGAAAGUGAACGCAGGUGAGAGCUUCGGCGCAUCAUCGACCGAUCCUGAUGUUCUCGGAUGGAUUUGAGUAAGAGCAUACGGGGCCGGACCCGAAAGAAGGUGAACUAUGCCUGUAUAGGGUGAAGCCAGAGGAAACUCUGGUGGAGGCUCGCAGCGGUUCUGACGUGCAAAUCGAUCGUCAAAUAUGGGCAUG
rnacentral:rRNA from 4 species